AUUUGGCCAAACAAGUGAGAUCUGUUGCUCCAGCCUUGGUGCAGGCCCAAUGGAAGACUAAAACGGGGAGAGCCACAGACAGUUAGCAGCCGCAGGUGUCUGAAUUUCGACCUGAUCUCUACAUACAGCUCUGCCAAGAUUACGAUGUCCAAUGGAGCUUGAAUCUGGAGUAUCAUUAGGAUAUCUGGGAUGUGUUGAUAUGAAACGCCCUGGUGAAUGGUACAAUUUUCAUUCAAGGUGCUAAAGACGGGGUUCAGACAGUAAGAUUUAUUG